UGCAGUCGACGAUGAAGGGAGCUUGCUCCUGGAUUAGUGGCGAACGGGUGAGUAACACGUGAGUAACCUGCCCUUAACUCUGGGAUAAGCCUGGGAAACUGGGUCUAAUACCGGAUAUGACUGAUCAUCGCAUGGUGGUUGGUGGAAAGCUUUUUGUGGUUUUGGAUGGACUCGCGGCCUAUCAGCUUGUUGGUGAGGUAAUGGCUCACCAAGGCGACGACGGGUAGCCGGCCUGAGAGGGUGACCGGCCACACUGGGACUGAGACACGGCCCAGACUCCUACGGGAGGCAGCAGUGGGGAAUAUUGCACAAUGGGCGCAAGCCUGAUGCAGCGACGCCGCGUGAGGGAUGACGGCCUUCGGGUUGUAAACCUCUUUCAGUAGGGAAGAAGCGAAAGUGACGGUACCUGCAGAAGAAGCGCCGGCUAACUACGUGCCAGCAGCCGCGGUAAUACGUAGGGCGCAAGCGUUAUCCGGAAUUAUUGGGCGUAAAGAGCUCGUAGGCGGUUUGUCGCGUCUGCCGUGAAAGUCCGGGGCUCAACUCCGGAUCUGCGGUGGGUACGGGCAGACUAGAGUGAUGUAGGGGAGACUGGAAUUCCUGGUGUAGCGGUGAAAUGCGCAGAUAUCAGGAGGAACACCGAUGGCGAAGGCAGGUCUCUGGGCAUUAACUGACGCUGAGAGCGAAA
rnacentral:rRNA from 1 species